rnacentral:misc_RNA from 1 species
AGCAGCCGCGGUAAUUCCAGCUCCAAUAGCGUAUAUUAAAGUUGUUGCAGUUAAAAAGCUCGUAGUUGAAUUUCGGGAUUGGCGCAUCGGUCGUGCCUCACGGGGUAUGAACUGGUGCAGUCAAUUUCUCACCUUCUGGAGAACCGCGAUGUCCUUAAUUGGAUGCCGCGGGGAACCAGGACCUUUACUUUGAAAAAAUUAGAGUGUUUAAAGCAGGCAUUUUUGCUUGAAUACAUUAGCAUGGAAUAAUAAAAUAGGACGGCAUGGUUCUAUUUUGUUGGUUUCUAGGACCACCGUAAUGAUUAAUAGGGAUAGUUGGGGGCAUUAGUAUUCAAUUGUCAGAGGUGAAAUUCUUGGAUUUAUUGAAGACUAACUACUGCGAAAGCAUUUGCCAAGGAUGUUUUCAUUAAUCAAGAACGAAAGUUAGGGGAUCGAAGACGAUCAGAUACCGUCGUAGUCUUAACCAUAAACUAUGCCGACUAGGAAUCAGACGAUGUUAAUUUUUUUAAUGACUCG